GGCCGGUGCUGGUCCCGCCCCCAGCUGCCUUCUGGGCCCAGCCUCCACUUUCAGCAGACCCGGCACUCAGAGGCUUCCUGAGGCAGCUGCAGCCCCUCCACAGUGGCCCAGGUGACCCAUAUCCCAGCGGAGGCCCGCUAUGGCCUCUGACCCCCAAAGCCUCAGCCUUGGAAAGGUGGCUCAUGGAGCUCCAGGCACAGAGAAGGCCCUGGAGGACGCAGCUGGGGUGGGGCAACACUCUGGCUGGGUUUUGCAGUGGGUCCCUGUGCCACGCUCAGGAGGUGACAGCUUGUUUCCUCCCAGCCAGAGGCAGCCAUUCUAGUGGACAGAGCUCUCUGUGUUACAGCAGGUCUGGGCAUCAGGCCCCACUGUCCCUGGCUGGAGGUGCUCAUGGUCCCGUAGACAACAGGGAGAACACUAUAUUUCUGUGUUGGGGAGGGCCAGGGACAGAAGCUUUCUGCUAGUGGGAGCAUCCCAGGAUGAGCUGGGCAGGGCUGCUCUGGAGGGAAGGAGUCCCCCAUCAUGGGAGGCAUCCAGGUACUGACCCUUCUCCCACUCCCUCCCGCCCUCCCCCCGAGGGCACAAUGCCUGACCCAUUUCCCCCCCUCAGGAGCAUGGGGUCGGCCUUUGAGCGGGUAGUCCGGAGAGUGGUCCAGGAGCUGGACCAUGGUGGGGAGCUCAUCCCUGUGACCAGCCUGCAGAGCUCCACUGGAUUCCAGCCCUACUGCCUGGUGGUCAGGAAGCCCUCAAGCUCAUGGUUCUGGAAACCCCGUUAUAAGUGUGUCAACCUGUCAAUCAAGGACAUCCUGGAGCCGGAUGCCCCGGAACCAGAUUUGCAGCGUGGCAGGAGCUUCCACUUCUACGAUGCCAUGGAUGGGCAGCUACAGGGCAGCGUGGAGCUGGCAGCCCCAGGACAGGCAAAGAUUGCAGGCGGGGCCGCGGUGUCUGACAGCUCCAGCACCUCAAUGAAUGUGUACUCGCUGAGUGUGGACCCUAACACCUGGCAGACUCUGCUCCAUGACAGGUGGGCCCGAAGAGGGCAGGGCAGGGCCCCCACCCACCCCAAGCAACCCUGCUUUUAUUUAUUUAUUUAAAUUAUUUUUUGAGGUGAGGUUUUGCUGUCUUGGCCAGGGUGGUCUUGAACUCCUGGCCUCAAGCAAUCCUCCUGCCUCAGCUCCUAAAGUGCUGGGAUUACAGGGGUGAGCCACUGUGCCCGGUCCCAGCCUUGCUUUUGGGAAGGUCACAACCUUGGGGCAUCAGGAAAGUCCCAGAGGCAAAAGAGCGCUGUGGCCGGAACCGGGUUGCAGGAAGGAAGCUGCAAGGGUCAUCUGGGGCCUCAGCUGCCAGGACUGGAUCCUAAGGACCAGACUGAGCCCCAGGCUGCUGUGAGGACAAGUGGUGGUGUGAACAUGGGGGCCCAGGUGAGGGGGCUGCUCCUCGAGUCUGGACUUGGAGUCCCCGAGUCCACCUUUCCUCAUGGGAUCCCAUCCCUGUGGGGAGCGCAUAGAGAGGCUGCCGGUGCCCAGGCACCCACAGACCUCUGGAGGGCCCCUCUGCACCACCUCCCCCAGUGGCAUGGGGCUGUCAGGGGAGGGAAGACAUCUUUGGGGACUGCGGCCCAGUGAGCUUGCUGCUCCUCGGACCACAGGCACCUGCGGCAGCCAGAGCACAAAAUCCUGCAGCAGCUGCGGAGCCGCGGGGACAACGUGUAUGUGGUGACCGAGGUGUUGCAGACACAGAAGGACGUGGAAGUCACGCGGACCCACAAGCGGGAGGGCUCGGGCCAGUUUUCCCUGCUCGGAACCAUGUGCUUGCAGGUGUGUAGCCAGCCUCGGGCCACGCCUGGCCCCACAUGGGCACGCAGCGGCGGGUGGUGGAGGCAGCGGGGCUGGGCUCCACCAAGGCCCCUCGGAGCAGCUCCAGCCCUGCGCUUGGCUACGGAGCCAAAGUCACCUGUCGGCGGGCCUGCCCCCAGCACCCAGCCCACACCCGCACCCAGCCCACACCCGCACCCAGCCCACACCUGCACCCCGCAGUCCGGUGCCCAGGGCCCGGCCCUGAGCCCAUCUCCAUGCCUCAGGGUGAGGGCCAGGGCCACCUGAGCCAGAAGAAGACGGUCACCAUCCCCUCGGGCAGCAUCCUCGCAUUCCGGGUGGCCCAGCUGGUUAUUAACUCUGACUUGGGUGAGCUGGAGUUGGGGGUGUCUCGGGCCCAGGCCCUGGCAGAGAAGCAGGGAGGCCUGGGGAGAGCUACCCACCAGCUUGGGCUGCCGUGGGCCCCUGGCUGAACAACGUCCUGUGUCUGGCAGGUGGCUGAGGUCCUGUGCUCUGGUGUGUGGGUGAUUGGGCAGGGCCUGAGCUGGAUAGGGGAGCUCCUAGUAGGGGAGGGGAUGCUGGGAUCUAGGUGACAUGCCUGUCCCUGUCUGCUCCCACCUGGCUGCCAGACGUCCUUCUCUUCCCGGAUAAGAAGCAGAGGACCUUCCAGCCACCCCCGACUGGCCACAAGCGUUCCACGAGCGAAGGCGCCUGGCCACAGCCGCCCUCUGGCAUCUCCAUGAUGGGGUGCCUCCACAACUUCCUGACAGAUGGGGUCCUUGUGGAGGGUGCGUUCACUGAAGACUUCCAGGGCCUGUGGGCAGAGGUGGAGACCAUCUCCAAGGAACUGGAGCUCUUGGACAGAGAGCUGUGCCAGCUGCUGCUGAGGGGCCUGGAGGGGGUGCUGCGGGACCAGCUGGCCCUGCGAGCCUUGGAGGAGGCGGUGAGUGGGGGAGGGUGCCCGGGGCACACAAGGCCGGCCCAGCCAGCCAGGCUCAUCUGCCCUUCCCGUGCCCACAGCUGGAGCAGGGCCAGAGCCUUGGGCCGGUGGAGCCCCUGGACGGUCCAGCAGGUGCUGUCCUGGAGUGCCUGGUGUUCCCCUCCAGAAUGCUGGUGCCGGAACUCGCCAUCCCUGUUGUCUACCUGCUGGGGGCACUGACCAUGCUGAGUGAAACGCAGCACAAGCUGCUGGCGGAGGCGCUGGAGUCGCGGUCCCUGUUGGGGCCGCUCGAGCUGGUGGGCAGCCUCUUGGAGCAGAGUGCCCCGUGGCAGGAGCACAGCACCAUGUCCCUGCCCCCCGGGCUCCUGGGGAGCAGCUGGGGCGAAGGGGCACCGGCCUGGGUCUUGCUGGACGAGUGUGGCCUGGAGCUGGGGGAGGACACUCCCCACGUGUGCUGGGAGCCGCAGGCCCAGGGCCGCAUGUGUGCACUCUACGCCUCCCUGGCACUGCUAUCAGGACUGAGCCAGGAGCCCCACUAGCCUGUGCCCGGGCAUGGCCUGGCAGCUCUCCAGCAGGGCAGAGUGUUUGCCCACCAGCUGCUAGCCCGAGGAAGGCCAGGAGCCCAGUAGCCAUGUGGCCUGUCUACCAUGGGGCCCAGGAGUUGGGGAAACACAAUAAAGGUGGCAUACGAAGG
rnacentral:sRNA from 1 species